rnacentral:rRNA from 1 species
GCCUGCCCAGUGACACACGUUAAACGGCCGCGGUAUCCUAACCGUGCAAAGGUAGCGUAAUCAUUUGUUCUUUAAAUAAGGACCCGUAUGAAUGGCUACAUGAGGAUUGACUUGUCUCUUACAGCGAAUCAAUGAAACUGAUCUCCUAGUCCAAAAGCUGGGAUACUCACAUAAGACGAGAAGACCCCGUGGAGCUUCAAACUACCAGCCAACCAGCUUUUGGACUGGAGUUUUUAGUUGGGGCGACUUUGGAGACAAACAAAACCUCCAAACACAUCAACCUAGGCCCACAUGCCACCACACCACUUACAUGAUCCAAUAAAAUUGAAUAAUGAACCAAGUUACCCCGGGGAUAACAGCGCAAUCUUCUUCUAGAGUCCCUAUCGACAAGAAGGUUUACGACCUCGAUGUUGGAUCAGGAUACCCAAAUAGUGCAGCCGCUAUUAACGGUUCGUUUGUUCAACGAUUAAUAUCCUACGUGAUCUGAGUUCAGACCGG